rnacentral:lncRNA from 8 species
GCCCCACUAUUUUUUUGGGGAGGGCACACGGGGAGAUUGGCAGAGUCAGGUGGUAGACCUAAGCCAACUCCCCGUGCUUACCGGAAGCAGCGUGGUACUGGUAAGACACCGUGUUACGCUGUGGAGCGCACGGUGUCCCCAGUGCGCGUUCAAAGCCCGGUGCGCUACAUACCAGCCCCCCGCAAGUGCCAUGCGAGUGCAGGCAUCGAGCCAGGGCGGAUGGUGCCAGCUCAGCGCGUCUGGUCUCCAGUGCGCCUCCUCGGUCCAGGUUAUCCUGCGCCGGCGUUGCGCACUGUGUCUCCAGAGCGCUGGGAGGGUCCAGUUCGCCCAAUACCUGCUCUCCGCCCGUGCCGGGCCAAAGUGGGCAUUCAGCCUGGAGUGUCGGUAAAGAGUGUCCGUACCAGAACUCCAGUGCUCCCCCACAGCCCGGUUUAUCCUGUGCCUCCUCCUCGGACCAGGCCUCCAGUGGGUCUCCCCAUCCUGGUCCAUCCUGUGCCACCUCCCAGGACCAGGCCUCCAGUGGGUCUCCCCAUCCUGGUCCAUCCUGUGCCACCUCCCAGGACCAGGCCUCCAGUGGGUCUCCCCAUCCUGGUCCAUCCUGUGCCACCUCCCAGGACUAGGCCUCCAGUGGGUCUCACCUGUCCAGAGCUGCCCGCCAGUCAACAGUCGUCAGAGCUGCCCGCCAGUCAACAGUCGUCAGAGCUGCCCGCCAGUCAACAGUCGCCAGAGAGGCCAGACUGCGCUGAACUGCCGGAGUGGCCAGACUGCGCUGAACUGCCGGAGUGGCCAGACUGCGCUGAACUGCCGGAGUGGCCAGACUGCGCUGAACUGCCGGAGUGGCCAGACCCGGUGAGUCCUGUGCCUACGCCUAGGGCCAGGCCUCUGUCAUGUCUCCCCAGCCUGGUGAGUCCUGUGCCGGUGCCCAGGGCCAGGCAUCCAUCAUGUCUCCCCAGCCUGGUGAAUCCUGGGUCAGUGCAGUCGGAGCCACCAGGGACGCCCGCCAGCCGGGCGCCGCCA